CAUUCUGACGCUUAGCUCCACCGUUGAUGAUUGUUGGCGCACCGAUUGCACGGCUUGGCUUUCCAAACUGCUGGUACAGUUGGUGCUGUUGUGACUUGUCCUUUGGAAGUGGUUAAAACACGCCAACAGAGUUCAACUUCUUUUAUCGCGCCGACACGUCUUGAACCGGCAAGCUCCACAAAUGGCUCCAGCGAAUUGUUACGACCCGAACAGCGACGUAAAUUGAGCACGACAAUUUUGCGUAAGAGGUCACAGCCACAGGUGAUUGGGGGUGUGCGUAGGAUAAUGGCUAUCUCACAUUGCGGCAUCUCAUCCACCUCCACAAAAUCAAUGAGCAUGGUGCAAUGUUUAAGACACAUAGUACAAAAUGAAGGCCCACGCGCUUUAUUCAAAGGUCUGGGACCGAAUCUUAUUGGUGUGGCACCUUCACGAGCGAUAUAUUUUUGCACCUACUCACAAACAAAGAAUUUUUUAAAUAGUGUAAG
rnacentral:misc_RNA from 1 species